rnacentral:sRNA from 1 species
GGAGUGCUGCUACCUCUUACCCUGACUUUUGAGUACCGUCGUUUCCUCGGCGGGCCCGCCCGCCGAUUGGACAAUAUUCAAACCCUUUGCAGUUGCAAUCACCGUCUGAAAAAACAAAAUAGAUUCAUGUUUCAACAACGGAUCUCUUGGUUCUGGCAUCUAUGAAUAACGCAUCGAAAUGCGAUAAGUAAAGUGAAUUGGCCAUUUCAGUGAAUAAUCAAAUCUUUUAACGCACAUUGCGCCCCUUGGUAUUCCAUGGGGCAAGCCUGUUCGAGCGUCAUUUGUACCUUCAAGCUCUGCUUGUUGUUGGGUGUUUGUCUCUCCUCUGCGUGUCGACUCCCUUAAAACAAUUGGAGAGCGGGUCUUUGUUUUUGGGGUGAAUAAAUUUGUGGGGUUUGAACUUUAAGAACCACAUCCAAAGGAUAUUUUUUUGCCCUUGACCCCCCACACGGGGGGGACCCCGCUUUAAUUUAACAUAAUCAUUUUCGUAAGAACGGACGAACCUAUGCCGUUGAAGAUGUUAAUUAACCUCCUUGAAAUUCUUAUUACUAAUGCACGAGCGGAACCUACCUGAUGAAUCAUAUCAAUAAAGGAAGAA